rnacentral:rRNA from 1 species
UAGGGGAAACGGGUAAAGUUGAUCAUGGCUCAGGUAAGUCGUAACAAGGUAACCGUAAAGUUUGAUCCUGGCUCAGGAAACCGUAACAAGGGAACCGGACAGAUGGAGGGGGAUAACGACUGGAAACGGCAGGUAAUACCGCAUAACGUCGCAAGACCAAAGUGGGGGACCUUCGGGCCUCAUGCCAUCAGAUGUGCCCAGAUGGGAUUAGCUAGUAGGUGGGGUAACGGCUCACCUAGGCGACGAUCCCUAGCUGGUCUGAGAGGAUGACCAGCCACACUGGAACUGAGACACGGUCCAGACUCCUACGGGAGGCAGCAGUGGGGAAUAUUGCACAAUGGGCGCAAGCCUGAUGCAGCCAUGCCGCGUGUGUGAAGAAGGCCUUCGGGUUGUAAAGCACUUUCAGCGGGGAGGAAGGCGGUGAGGUUAAUAACCUCAUCGAUUGACGUUACCCGCAGAAGAAGCACCGGCUAACUCCGUGCCAGCAGCCGCGGUAAUACGGAGGGUGCAAGCGUUAAUCGGAAUUACUGGGCGUAAAGCGCACGCAGGCGGUCUGUCAAGUCGGAUGUGAAAUCCCCGGGCUCAACCUGGGAACUGCAUUCGAAACUGGCAGGCUAGAGUCUUGUAGAGGGGGGUAGAAUUCCAGGUGUAGCGGUGAAAUGCGUAGAGAUCUGGAGGAAUACCGGUGGCGAAGGCGGACCCCUGGACAAAGACUGACGCUCAGGUGCGAAAGCGUGCGGAGCAAACAGGAUUAGAUACCCUGGGAGUCCACGCUGUAAACGAUGUCGAUUUGGAGGUUGUGCCCUUGAGGCGUGGCUUCCGGAGCUAACGCGUUAAAUCGACCGCCUGGGGAGUACGGGCGUAAGGUUAAAACUCAAAUGAAUUGACGGGGGCCCGCACAAUCGGGGGAUCAUGUGGUUUAAUUCGAUGCAACGCGAAGAACCUUACCUGGAUUGAAUCCACAUAACUUACCAUAGAUGCUUUGUGCUUCGUGGACUGUGAACUGGUGCUGCUUGGCUGUCGCACUCGUGUGUGAAUGGUGGGUUAAGUCCCGCAACUACGCAACCCUUAUCCUUUGUGCCGGCGGUAGGCCGGGACUCAAUGAAACUGCCGGUGAAAACUGGAGGAGGUGGUGAUGCUUCAGUUAUCAUGGCCC